AGUGAACGCUAGCGGUGCGCCUAACACAUGCAAGUCGAGCGACUCUUCGAGAGGAGCGGCGAACGGCUGCGUAACACGUUGGAACCUACCCCAGACUCAGGGAUAACAUACCGAAAGGUGUGCUAAUACCGGAUGGUCUCGUAAGAGUAAAGCUUUUGCGGUCUGGGAGGGGCCUGCGGCCUAUCAGUUUGUUGGUGAGGUAAAAGCUCACCAAGACGAUGACGGGUAGCUGAUCUGAGAGGAUGAUCAGCCAGAAUGGGACUGAGACACGGCCCAU
rnacentral:rRNA from 1 species